AUUGAACGCUGGCGGCAUGCUUUACACAUGCAAGUCGAACGGUAACAGGUUAAGCUGACGAGUGGCGAACGGGUGAGUAAUGCAUCGGAACGUGCCCGGUCGUGGGGGAUAACGCAGCGAAAGUUGCGCUAAUACCGCAUACGAUCUGAGGAUGAAAGCGGGGGACCGUAAGGCCUCGCGCGAUCGGAGCGGCCGAUGUCAGAUUAGGUAGUUGGUGGGGUAAAGGCUCACCAAGCCAACGAUCUGUAGCUGGUCUGAGAGGACGACCAGCCACACUGGGACUGAGACACGGCCCAGACUCCUACGGGAGGCAGCAGUGGGGAAUUUUGGACAAUGGGCGAAAGCCUGAUCCAGCAAUGCCGCGUGCAGGAAGAAGGCCUUCGGGUUGUAAACUGCUUUUGUACGGAGCGAAAAGGUCUCCUCUAAUACAGGGGGCUCGUGACGGUACCGUAAGAAUAAGACCGGCUAACUACGUGCCAGCCGCCGCCGUAA
rnacentral:rRNA from 1 species